GCGAUGGGCCCUGAUUGUAUCCCCAUUGAGGUGUGGAAAGGUCUCGGGGACAUAGUGAUAGUAUGGCUAACCAAGCUUUUCAACCUCAUUUUUCGGGCAAACAAGAUGCCAGAAGAAUGGAGACGGAGUAUAUUAGUACCAAUCUUCAAGAACAAGGGGGAUGUUCAGAGUUGUACUAAUUACCGUGGAAUUAAGCUGAUGAGCCAUACAAUGAAGCUAUGGGAGAGAGUCAUUGAGCACCGCUUAAGAAGAAUGACAAGCGUGACCAAAAAUCAGUUUGGUUUCAUGCCUGGGAGGUCGACCAUGGAAGCCAUUUUCUUGGUACGACAACUUAUGGAGAGAUAUAGGGAGCAUAAGAAGGACUUGCAUAUGGUGUUCAUUGACUUGGAGAAGGCCUAUGAUAAGAUACCGCGGAAUGUCAUGUGGUGGGCCUUGGAGAAACACAAAGUCCCAGCAAAGUACAUUACCCUCAUCAAGGACAUGUACAAUAAUGUUGUGACAAGUGUUCGAACAAGUGAUGUCGACACCGAUGACUUCCCGAUUAAGAUAGGACUGCACCAGGGGUCAGCUUUGAGCCCUUAUCUUUUUGCAUUGGUGAUGGAUGAGGUCACAAGGGGUAUACAAGGAGAUAUCCCAUGGUGUAUGCUCUUUGCGGAUGAUGUGGUGCUAGUUGAC
rnacentral:rRNA from 1 species